rnacentral:rRNA from 1 species
AUUGAACGCUGGCGGCAGGCCUAACACAUGCAAGUCGAGCGGAGCGGCGGACGGGUGAGUAAUGCCUAGGAAUCUGCCUGGUAGUUGGGGAUAACGUACGGUAACGGGCGCUAAUACCGCAUCAUAUCAGAUGAGACUAUGUCGUAGUAGCUCGUUGGUGGGGUAAAGGCCUACCAAGGCGACGAUCCGUAACUGGUCUGAGAGGAUGAUCAGUCACACUGGAACUGAGACACGGGCCAGACUCCUACGGGAGGCAGCAGUGGGGAAUAUUGGACAAUGGGCGAAAGCCUGAUGCAGCCAUGCCGCGUGUGUGAAGAAGGUCUUCGGGUUGUAAAGUACUUUCAGCGGGGAGGCGUUACCCGCAGAAGAAGCACCGGCUAACUCCGUGCCAGCAGCCGCGGUAAUUC